rnacentral:rRNA from 1 species
CAAGAGCGUAUGUAAAAGUUGUUGCAGUUAAAAAGCUCGUAGUUGAACCUUGGGUUUGGUUGGCCGGUCCGCUUUUUUGCGAGUACUGGAUUCAACCGAGCCUUUCCUUCUGGCUAACCAGUCGUUUCGGCGGCUGGCGAACCAGGAUUUUUACUUUGAGAAAAUUAGAGUGUCCAAAGCAGGCAUUAGCUUGAAUAUAUUAGCAUGGAAUAAUAGAAUAGGACGUUAUGGUUCUAUUUUGUUGGUUUCUAGGACCAUCGUAAUGAUUAAUAGGGACGGUCGGGGGCAUCAGUAUUCAGUUGUCAGAGGUGAAAUUCUUGGAUUUACUGAAGACUAACUACUGCGAAAGCAUUUGCCAAGGACGUUUUCAUUAA